GCCAGACUCCUACGGGAGGCAGCAGUGAGGAAUAUUGGUCAAUGGCCGGAAGGCUGAACCAGCCAAGUCGCGUGAGGGACGACUGCCCUAUGGGUUGUAAACCUCUUUUAUAAGGGAAGAAUAAAUGCUACGUGUAGCAUGAUGCCUGUACCUUAUGAAUAAGCAUCGGCUAACUCCGUGCCAGCAGCCGCGGUAAUACGGAGGAUGCGAGCGUUAUCCGGAUUUAUUGGGUUUAAAGGGUGCGUAGGCGGGAGGCCAAGUCAGCGGUAAAAAUGCGGUGCUCAACGCCGUCGAGCCGUUGAAACUGGCGUUCUUGAGUGGGCGAGAAGUAUGCGGAAUGCGUGGUGUAGCGGUGAAAUGCAUAGAUAUCACGCAGAACUCCGAUUGCGAAGGCAGCAUACCGGCGCCCUACUGACGCUGAGGCACGAAAGCGUGGGUAUCGAACAGGAUUAGAUACCCUAGUA
rnacentral:rRNA from 1 species